rnacentral:rRNA from 1 species
GACGAACGCUGGCGGCGUGCUUAACACAUGCAAGUCGAACGGAAAGGCCCUGCUUUUGUGGGGUGCUCGAGUGGCGAACGGGUGAGUAACACGUGAGUAACCUGCCCUUGACUUUGGGAUAACUUCAGGAAACUGGGGCUAAUACCGGAUAGGAGCUCCUGCUGCAUGGUGGGGGUUGGAAAGUUUCGGCGGUUGGGGAUGGACUCGCGGCUUAUCAGCUUGUUGGUGGGGUAGUGGCUUGCCAAGGCUUUGACGGGUAGCCGGCCUGAGAGGGUGACCGGCCACAUUGGGACUGAGAUACGACCCAGACUCCUACGGGAGGCAGCAGUGGGGAAUAUUGCACAAUGGGCGGAAGCCUGAUGCAGCAACGCCGCGUGCGGGAUGACGGCCUUCGGGUUGUAAACCGCUUUCGCCUGUGACGAAGCGUGAGUGACGGUAAUGGGUAAAGAAGCACCGGCUAACUACGUG